AUUGAACGCUGGCGGCGUGCUUAACACAUGCAAGUCGUGCGGUAACAGGCGUAGCAAUACGUGCUGACGAGCGGCGAACAGGUGCGUAAUACAUGGGAAUCUGCCCUUUGGUGGGGAAUAACCCGGCGAAAGCCGGGCUAAUGCCGCAUAAGAUCUUCGGAUGAAAGCGGGGGAUCGUAAGACCUCGCGCCGAUGGAUGAGCCCAUGUCGGAUUAGCAGUUGGUGAGGUAACAGCUCACCAAGGCGACGAUCCGUAGCUGGUCUGAGAGGACGGCCAGCCACACUGGGACUGAGACACGGCCCAGACUCCUACGGGAGGCAGCAGUGGGGAAUAUUGGACAAUGGGCGAAAGCCUGAUCCAGCGACGCCGCGUGUGUGAAGAAGGCCUGCGGGUUGUAAAGCACUUUCGA
rnacentral:rRNA from 1 species